rnacentral:rRNA from 1 species
AACGAACGCUGGCGGCGCGCCUAAUACAUGCAAGUCGAGCGAGAAGACGUAGCAAUACGUUUGUAAAGCGGCGAACGGGUGAGGAAUACAUGGGUAACCUACCCUCGAGUGGGGAAUAACUAGCCGAAAGGUUAGCUAAUACCGCGUACGCUCCUUGGACUUCGGUUCAGGGAGGAAAGCGAUACCGUGGGUAUCGCGCUCUUGGAUGGGCUCAUGUCCUAUCAGCUUGUUGGUGAGGAACGGCUCACCAAGGCUUCGACGGGUAGCUGGUCUGAGAGGACAAUCAGCCACACUGGCACUGCGACACGGGCCAGACUCCUACGGGAGGCAGCAGUAAGGAAUAUUGC